UCUCCCAAACUGGGGGAGAGUGGAGAAGGAAUGUAACUCAUGAAGCUUGUGAAGUUUCUGCUAUCUCAUCAGUCCCAUUAAAAGACGGGAGAGCAGCUAAAAUUGAAAGUGACGGUAGAGUCUUUAGGAGGCGGCCUGUGAUUUCCAAAUUAUCAUAUUUUCCAAGUCAAUAAUAAAAAGCUUAUGAUAGUGCUAGCUAUGCUGACAGGCUUUAAUAAGAUAGGGUUGCUGGAGCGCGGCAGACCGAGGGCCAGGCAGUUGUGUGUUUGCAGAUGUGUUGUAAUGUGUGUGUGUGUGGGCGAAAGUGUGUUUCCUUCGAUAAGUGUGUUUUAAUUGUGUACAUGUGUUUCGGCACUUGGUUGCUUGUGUGCUGAGUUUUUAUGAGGCAUCUUGAAAUGUACAGAUGAAAAUGGAAUGGAUUUUUGAUAUUUUUUCUAACUAAAGAAGAAACAUCUUAUGUUGACUCUCAUCUGCCUCCUUCACAGAGAGCAAUGGGCAGUCCAGGACAGAACUAACCUUUCUAACCAGCUCAUCCGGUCUCUUUCAAUCCUAGUCAGUGCAGCCUGUACACCAGCAGACUACAAUAAAGUGGAUGUCUGAGGCUUCACAAAGUGGGUAAAUCUCUGAAGCCCACUCAAUCCAAAGAACUUCAAAAGGAGGUGCAGCUGAAGAAGAUGAGCGGCUUCAUCAGUCUUCUGUGAGCACUUUGGGAUGUGGGAGGGGCUGAUCACUUACUGCUGCCAGUUAAAAGGUAUGUGCUUUCCAUUGGUGUAUUGACUUUUGUGAAAACUAACAAAAUAUGUCAUUUUCUGAAUGCAAUAUUGUCUUAAAAAAA